rnacentral:rRNA from 1 species
UCAAGCUACAAAGAGCGUAAGGGGAAUGCCUUGGCACCAGGAGCCGACGAAGGACGCAGCGAUCUGCGAAAAGCCACGGGGAGCCGAAAGCAGGCUUUGAUCCGUGGAUAUCCGAAUGGGGAAACCCGCAUGGUUAAUAGCCAUGCGACGUAUACUGAAUAAAUAGGUAUGCGUCGGGAACCGUCUGAACUGAAACAUCUAAGUAGGACGAGGAAAAGAAAUCAACCGAGAUUCCGUAAGUAGUGGCGAGCGAACACGGAAGAGGCCAAACCGAAGGUAGCAAUAUCUUCGGGGUACGGACAGUAAACGGCAUUGCGGUAUCUUAGCAGAAGUGCAUGGGACGGCACACCAUAGAGAGUGAUAGUCUCGUAAGCGAAAAGAGAAGGCAGCCAACUGUAUCCAGAGUACCGCCGGACACGUGAAACCCGGUGGGAACAUGGGGGGACCAUCCUCCAAGCCUAAAUACUCCCUGGUGACCGAUAGAGAACAGUACUGUGAAGGAAAGGUGAAAAGAACCCCGGGAGGGGAGUGAAAAGAACCUGAAACCUUAUGCUUACAAGCACCGAGAGCCCAUCAAAGGGUGAUCGGGUACCUUUUGUAGAAUGGUCCGGCGAGUGAAUGUAACUGGCAAGGUUAAGCACUUCAGGUGUGGAGCCGAAGCGAAAGCAAGUCUUAAUAGGGCGUCAAGUCAGUUGUAUUCGACCCGAAACCGUGUGACCUAGCCAUGAGCAGGCUGAAGUGGAGGUAAAACUCCAUGGAGGGCCGAACCCACUCCCGUUGAAAUGGUAGGGGAUGACUUGUGGCUAGCGGAGAAAUUCCAAUCGAACUCGGAGAUAGCUGGUUCUCUCCGAAAUAGCUUUAGGGCUAGCCUCGAUUUAACAUUACCGGAGGUAAAGCACUGAAUGGGCUAGGGGCCGAGAGGUUACUGAACCCUAUCAAACUAAGAAUGCCGGAUAAUGAUAAUCGGGAGUCAGACAGUGUGAGAUAAGUUUCAUUGUCAAAAGGGAAACAGCCCAGACCCACAGCUAAGGUCCCAAAGUACAGUUAAGUGGUGAAGGAUGUGGAAUUGCAUAGACAACCAGGAUGUUGGCUUAGAAGCAGCCACUCAUUAAAAGAGUGCGUAAUAGCUCACUGGUCGAGUGAUUCUGCGCCGAAAAUUUAACGGGGCUAAACUAUACACCGAAGCUUAGGAUACCGCAAGGUAUGGUAGGAGAGCGUUCUGUACGGAGUGAAGUCGUAGCGAAAGCGGCGGUGGACUGUACAGAAGUGAGAAUGCCGGAAUAAGUAGCGAGAAUUAAGUGAGAAUCUUAAUGGCCGAAAGUCUAAGGUUUUUGGAGGAAGGUUCGUCCGCUCCAAGUAAGUCGGGAGCUAAGGUCAGGCCGAAAGGCGUAGCCGAUGCACAAACGGUUGAUAUUCCGUUACCGUCUACAAUUUAAACAAAGGGACACAUACAAAGCGUUUAACCCGGGCGAUGGUUGACCCGGGCGCAAGGGACUGAAAUUAGAGUAGGGAAGUAAAUGUGGCGUAUGGCGAGAAAAGCUUUGUGUAUAGAAGUAGACGCCCGUACCGCAAACCGACACAGGUGGACAGGAAGAGAAUUCUAAGGCCAGCGGGAGAAGGGUAGUUAAGGAACUCGGCAAAUUGACUCCGUAACUUCGGAAUAAGGAGUGCUCGAAAGAGCCGCAGAGAAUAGGCCCAGGCGACUGUUUAGCAAAAACACAGGUCUCUGCCAAAUCGAAAGAUGAAGUAUAGGGGCUGACACCUGCCCGGUGCCGGAAGGUUAAGAGGAGGAGUGCAAGCUCCGAAUUGAAGCCCCGGUAAACGGCGGCCGUAACUAUAACGGUCCUAAGGUAGCGAAAUUCCUUGUCGGGUAAGUUCCG